rnacentral:misc_RNA from 1 species
GAUGAAGAACGCAGCGAAAUGCGAUACGUAAUGUGAAUUGCAGAAUUCAGUGAAUCAUCGAGUCUUUGAGCGCACAUUGCGCCCCCUGGUAUUCCGGGGGGCAUGCCUGUCCGAGCGUCAUUGCUGCCCUCAAGCACGGCUUGUGUGUUGGGCCUCCGUCCUCCUCCCGGGGGACGGGCCCGAAAGGCAGCGGCGGCACCGCGUCCGGUCCUCGAGCGUAUGGGGCUUCGUCACCCGCUCUUGUAGGCCCGGCCGGCGCUUGCCGACACAUCAGUCUUUUUUCCAGGUUGACCUCGGAUCAGGUAGGGAUACCCGCUGAACUUAAGCAUAUCAAUAAGCGGAGGA